AUUGAACGCUGGCGGCAUGCCUUACACAUGCAAGUCGAACGGCAGCGCGGGGCAACCUGGCGGCGAGUGGCGAACGGGUGAGUAAUAUAUCGGAACGUACCCUGGAGUGGGGGAUAACGUAGCGAAAGUUACGCUAAUACCGCAUACGAUCUAAGGAUGAAAGUGGGGGAUCGCAAGACCUCAUGCUCCUGGAGCGGCCGAUAUCUGAUUAGCUAGUUGGUAGGGUAAAAGCCUACCAAGGCAUCGAUCAGUAGCUGGUCUGAGAGGACGACCAGCCACACUGGAACUGAGACACGGUCCAGACUCCUACGGGAGGCAGCAGUGGGGAAUUUUGGACAAUGGGCGAAAGCCUGAUCCAGCAAUGCCGCGUGAGUGAAGAAGGCCUUCGGGUUGUAAAGCUCUUUUGUCAGGGAAGAAACGGUGAGGGCUAAUAUCCCUUGCUAAUGACGGUACCUGAAGAAUAAGCACCGGCUAACUACGUGCCAGCAGCCGCGGUAAUACGUAGGGUGCAAGCGUUAAUCGGAAUUACUGGGCGUAAAGCGUGCGCAGGCGGUUUUGUAAGUCUGUCGUGAAAUCCCCGGGCUCAACCUGGGAAUGGCGAUGGAGACUGCAAGGCUAGAGUUUGGCAGAGGGGGGUAGAAUUCCACGUGUAGCAGUGAAAUGCGUAGAUAUGUGGAGGAACACCGAUGGCGAAGGCAGCCCCCUGGGUCAAGACUGACGCUCAUGCACGAAAGCGUGGGGAGC
rnacentral:rRNA from 1 species